rnacentral:rRNA from 1 species
AUUGAACGCUGGCGGCAGGCCUAACACAUGCAAGUCGAGCGGAUGAAGGGAGCUUGCUCCUGGAUUCAGCGGCGGACGGGUGAGUAAUGCCUAGGAAUCUGCCUGGUAGUGGGGGAUAACGUCCGGAAACGGGCGCUAAUACCGCAUACGUCCUGAGGGAGAAAGGGGGGGAUCUUCGGACCUCACGCUAUCAGAUGAGCCUAUGUCGGAUUAGCUAGUUGGUGGGGUAACGGCCUACCAAGGCGACGAUCCGUAACUGGUCUGAGAGGAUGAGCAGUCACACUGGAACUGAGACACGGUCCAGACUCCUACGGGAGGCAGCAGUGGGGAAUAUUGGACAAUGGGCGAAAGCCUGAUCCAGCCAUGCCGCGUGUGUGAAGAAGGUCUUCGGAUUGUAAAGCACUUUAAGUUGGGAGGAAGGGCAGUAAGUUAAUACCUUGCUGUUUUGACGUUACCAACAGAAUAAGCACCGGCUAACUUCGUG